AGAAACCCUACUUCUCGCUUCAGUUCUCACUUCUCACGCAGUCACUUUCCCACAAGACAAGAACUCAAGAAGCCCUAAUAUCUCAGUCUCUCUCUCGUCAUUUUCUCUCAAUUCCCAACGGCGAACUCCAUUUUUCAGUGAGCAAGGUCGUCGAACAUCACACUCCAGUCUCUAGUAGUAGUCUGUCUGGUAGGUAGAGUAUGUAUAUUUCAUUUUCCUUAUUUUCUAUUCGCGAAUUGAGGAUUUGGGACCAAUUUCUGUCAUUUUUAUGGAUACGAAAUUGAAUAAUUAGCCAGGUGUAUUCAAAAGUGAAGUCGAAAUCUUCUUCCACGCCUCUUUAGUUUGAUUAGAUAUUGUUGCAAAAUCCUCUAAUUCUACUAUAGAAGAAUUUGUUGUAACCAUUAAUUUAGUAUUAGAUGGGCAAAGCCAAAAGGGGUCCAAAAAAUUGGGCUUAGAUAUAGAUGGAUUUAUUAUAUUACUGAAUUGAAGAUUUGGGACCAAGAUUUGAGUGCAAUUCAGCUUAGACAGAUUUUUAUUUUCUUCUAAUUAAAUUAUUUUAAAUGGUCUAAUAAAGUUUCAAACAAAACAACUUUGUAAUUUGACUUCGCUCCAAACCCAUGGUUUUAGCGACCCUUUGAACAAAUAGCUAACAAUAUUAUUAUAUCUGUCUUAAUAGAUUUUUAUAUUUGUUGUAUUGCAUUGUUAUUUUUAUUAAAUACAUCUAUUUGGUUGUUUUAGAAUUUUGGUGGAAUAUGUUUGUAGAUAUGGAUGAUUGUGAAGUAAUUGGCUCAGAAUCUCCAUCAAAUGACAUAGAUUUGCAAGCAAGUCUUCCUCCACGUGCACCGUCAACAUUAGGUAAACGAAAAUCUAAUAAAUUAGCUUCAUAUGUUUGGGAUCACUUUACACUUUUGGGAUCAAGGGAUGAUCCAGAUAUUAGGUGUAAAUGUAACUACUGUGGGGGUAGAUUAUGCUUGUGGCACUAAGAAGUGUGGUACUAGCACAUUGGGCAAUCAUUUGACAAAUCAAUGUAAGAAGUAUCCUGAUAGAUUUGUGGAUAAGAAGCAAAAAAAUCCUUUCUUUUAAGAACAAAAAAGAGGGUGGUGGGAGCAAUCUUGUUGCUAUUGGUCGAAGUAAAGAAGAGUGUAGAGUUGCAUGUGCUAAGAUGGUUGUAUUGGAUGAAUUACCUUUUAGGUUUGUUGAAGGUCGGGGUUUUAAGCUCUUUUGUAGUGUAGCAGGUCCUCAAUUUAAGGCUCCAUCACGGAGGAUUCUUGUUAGAGACAUCUAUCAAUUGUAUUUAGAUGAAAAACUAAAAUUGAGAGACGUCUUUUCUUUUCAUCGUGAAAGGGUUUCCCUCACAACUGAUACUUGGACUUUCAUUCAAAAUGUUAAUUACAUGUCUCUUACAGCACAUUUUAUUGAUUCUGAUUGGACACUUAAUAAGCGUAUUUUGAAUUUUCGUGUUGUUCCAAAUCACAAAGGAGAAACAAUUGGGAAAAUGAUUGAGACUUGUUUGCAAAAUUGGGAAAUUCAGAAAGUUUUUACAAUCACUGUUGAUAAUGCAAGCUCUAAUGAUGUGGCUAUUGCUUAUCUUAGGAGGAAGUUGAUUGCUUGAGGUAAUGAUGGAUGUGUUCUAGAUGGGAGAUAUUUGCACUUGAGGUGUUGUGCACACAUUAUAAACUUGAUUGUUUGUGAGGGGUUGAGGGAAGUACAUGACUCCAUUGCGAAUAUCCGCAAUGUAAUCAAAUAUGUGAAAUCUUCUCCUGUUAGGUAUGAAAAACUGAAGGAGUGUGCGAGAAAAGAGAAAAUUGAUUGCAAGUCUAUUGUAUUUUUGGAUGUUCCAACUAGGUGGAAUUCUACCUAUUUGAUGUUGGAAACUGCAUUGAAAUUUGAGAAAGCUUUUGAUAGGUUAGAAGAAGAGGAUGCUCAAUAUUUGCAUUACUUUCGAGAAGACAAUGGUGGUAAAAAGAGAGGUGGACCUCCUUCAAAUUUAAAUUGGAAAAAUGGAUCUAUGUUUGUCAAGUUUCUUAAAAAAAAAAUUUGAUGUGACUUUGACUUUUAGUUAUUCAUUGCCUGUUAGUGCUUGUGAUUAUCUUCAUGAAAUUUGUAAUCUUGUAUUCGAAUUGGAUGAAUGGAGAUUGAGUGGUAAUUUUUUAUUGGGUGAAAUGGCGACUAACAUGAAGAAGAAGUUCGAGAAGUAUUGGGAUAAAAUGGAAAAUAUGAAUCGGUUGUUGCUUUUUGCUACUAUCCUUGAUUCAAGAUAUAAAAUGGAUUAUGUUGAAUACUGUUUUAGUGAUCUAUAAAUGGAUGGGGAAGUUGUUAGUAAUAUGAUGAAAUCUUUGAAAGAAAAUUUCAUGGAUAUUUAUGAGUGGUAUGUGGCAUAUAUGAAGGUGUUCAUGGAAGUAGUCAAGUAUCAACUAAUGAAUCUUUGAGUUCUUUCAGUACAAAUAAAGACAGUUCUUCUUCUAUGAGUGGUGCUCAUCUUUCUAGAUUUUUGAAAAAACAAGUUGUAAAAGAAUGUGCUGAAAUAAAAAAUGAUGUGGAAAGAUACUUGAUGCUCGUGAAAGCAUAGAGAACAAGGACUUUGAUGUUCUCGAUUGGUGGAAGCUUAACAAAAGUAAGUACGGUGUCUUGUCUAAUCUUGCUAAGGAUGUGUUGGCAAUUCAAGUUACAACUGUUGCUUUAGAAAGUGCUUUUAGCAUCGGAGGAAGGAUCCUUGAUCCUUUUCGUAGUUCAUUAAGUCCUAAAAUGGUGGAAGUCUUGGUAUGCACACAAAAUUGGUUGAAAGCUUCUCCACAGUUAGAUGGUUUCCACAUGGAAGAUGUUGAGCAUUACAACCAGUUAGAUGAAGGUAAUAUGUAUUUUUUUCAUAAAUUUUGUUAUUUUGACUUUAUUUCUUUGUAUUUUGUUGUCAACUUAAUCAAUUUUUAUUAUUUUUUAUUUUUUUAUAUAUAUUUUUUAAGAAUUGAAAUCAAUGAAUUCAAAAUUGAAUGAAGAUGAUCAAGGGCACAAGAAUUAAUUUGUUUGAUGUCUAGUUUUUGUUUGUGCCAAGUGCCAAUAGUUAUUGGACGAUUAUUUUGUUUGUGUCAAGUGCCAAUGGUUAUUUGAUGGCUGGUUUUUGUUUUGUGGCACAAGAAUUAAUUUGUUUUGAAGGCUGGUUUUUUCUCAACAGAUUUUUGUUUGUACCAAUUUUUUUGCCCCGUUACAAUUAGAUAUGUAAUUGUUAUUGGAUAGUUAUUUAAUGUAUAUUUGGUGGAUUAUACUAUUAUAUGUUUUAAGUUUAUUGAUGUUUGAAGACUAUAUAAAUAUUGCUUUAAAUUUAGUAUUUUGACGACUUUAAUAUUUGUUGAUAGGUUAUCCCAACAUGACAUCCAACCCGACCGACAUUUGGUUGGGUUAGGUUGGGUUUCAAUCUUUAUAUGGAUUGGGCAGAGUUGGACAUUAAUAAAAUCAACCACAUUGGGUUGGGAUAAAAAUCGACCCGACCCAACCCAACCCAACCCAUGCCCACUCCUACACACAGGUUUAGAACAUAGGACAGUGAUCAAAAGAAUGUUUUUUAAGCUUAAAGGUUAUGAAAUAGGAAAAAUCUGGUUGUAUAGAAUAUUUUUCACAGAAUUCCACCAGAAUAGAGACAAGUGUGUGUGCCUCAUGCUGUAUAAAAAUGUCAAAAAUGUGUGUGGACCCCAGAACUGUGAGUUGUCUGUAUAUAUUCUGUCAAAAUUCUUUCUGUAUGUGUAAAAGCAUUCUAUGAAAUAUCAUUAGUUUUCUUUGAUUUCAAGAAUGCCAAAAGGAAAAUGAUGCAUUAGUGACAAUAUUAGAACAAAAUGAAAUGCUUUCUUCGCAAAAAGUAAAAAAGUAAAAUUAAAUGGAGCAACAGCCCUCUUGAGAAAUAUAUGCAAGCGCUGCUCAAACAAACCCGUCAUUUAAUGAACUUUUUUACAUUGCUUGCAUUGAUUAUCGAUUAAGUUGAUUGAAUUCUUAUUUUAUUCACAUGGUGGAUGGGGAAAAUAUAUUGUUG
rnacentral:lncRNA from 1 species